GCUCCCGUAGCUUAAAGGAUAAAGCACCUGCCUAACGAACGGGAAGAAGAAGGUUCGAGUCCUUCCGGGAGCG
rnacentral:tRNA from 1 species